AUUGAACGCUGGCGGCAGGCCUAACACAUGCAAGUCGAGCGGAGCGGCGGACGGGUGAGUAAUACCUAGGAAUCUGCCUGGUAGUGGGGGAUAACGUUCGGAAACGGACGCUAAUACCGCAUACUAUCAGAUGAGCCUAGGUCGGAUUAGCUAGUUGGUGAGGUAAUGGCUCACCAAGGCUACGAUCCGUAACUGGUCUGAGAGGAUGAUCAGUCACACUGGAACUGAGACACGGUCCAGACUCCUACGGGAGGCAGCAGUGGGGAAUAUUGGACAAUGGGCGAAAGCCUGAUCCAGCCAUGCCGCGUGUGUGAAGAAGGUCUUCGGAUUGUAAAGUACUUUCAGCGGGGAGGCGUUACCCGCAGAAGAAGCACCGGCUAACUCCGUGCCAGCAGCCGCGGUAAUAC
rnacentral:rRNA from 1 species